rnacentral:rRNA from 1 species
UACGGAGGGGGCUAGCGUUGUUCGGAAUUACUGGGCGUAAAGCGCACGGUAGGCGGCUUUGUAAGUUAGAGGUGAAAGCCCGGGGCUCAACUCCGGAAUUGCCUUUAAGACUGCAUCGCUAGAAUUGUGGAGAGGUAAGUGGAAUUCCGAGUGUAGAGGUGAAAUUCGUAGAUAUUCGGAAGAACACCAGUGGCGAAGGCGACUUACUGGACACAUAUUGACGCUGAGGUGCGAAAGCGUGGGGAGCAAACAGGG